rnacentral:rRNA from 1 species
GACGAACGCUGGCGGCGUGCUUAACACAUGCAAGUCGAACGGAAAGGCCCUGCUUUUGUGGGGUGCUCGAGUGGCGAACGGGUGAGUAACACGUGAGUAACCUGCCCUUGACUUUGGGAUAACUUAAGGAAACUGGGGCUAAUACCGGAUAGGAGCCCCUGCUGCGUGGUGGGGGUUGGAAAGUCUCGGCGGUCGGGGAUGGACUCGCGGCUUAUGAGCUUGUUGGUGGGGUAGUGGCUUACCAAGGCUUUGACGGGUCGCCGGCCUGAGAGGGUGAACGGCGACAUUGGGACUGCGAUACGGCCCAGACUCCUACGGGGGGCAGCAGUGGCGAAUAUUGCACAAUGGGCGGAAGCCUGAUGCAGCAACGCCGCGUGCGGGAUGACGGCCUUCGGGUUGUAAACCGCUUUCGCCUGUGACGAAGCGUGAGUGACGGUAAUGGGUAAAGAAGCACCGGCUAACUACGUG